GAUGGCGACCGGCGCACGGUGAGUAACACGUAUCCAACCUGCCGAUGACUCGGGGAUAGCCUUUCGAAAGAAAGAUUAAUACCCGAUGGCAUAGUUCUUCCGCAUGGUAGAACUAUUAAAGAAUUUCGGUCAUCGAUGGGGAUGCGUUCCAUUAGGUUGUUGGCGGGGUAACGGCCCACCAAGCCUUCGAUGGAUAGGGGUUCUGAGAGGAAGGUCCCCCACAUUGGAACUGAGACACGGUCCAAACUCCUACGGGAGGCAGCAUG
rnacentral:rRNA from 1 species